ensembl:lncRNA
AAACUAUUUGUUGUUUGUUGUCUUUUACAGAAGCUGGGCUCAGCAAUGAAAACAUUGACAAGAGGAGCAGCUGUCUUGGAGAAACAGUGAUAAGCAACUGUAUAAAUAGCUUACUGAUGUGACAUUUUAAAAUUCUGCUUCUAAAAUUCAUGCUGUCUUGUUAAUGAGCUGAAAGACCAAUGGAGAAACUAGUGAGGAAGGGGAAGAUAAUGGAAUAGGGAGUGUGAUGAGAGUUUCAUUGGAAGAAGAGGAGAGAACCACAUACCAGGAAGGAAAGCAAUAGAAGAGGGUCGCAUUCAUCCCGUGACGCAUUCUUCAUCUAAAAAAUAUGUUCCCUUUUUUUCUGACUUAAUCCCUCGAGCAGACCACCAGCCUGGGCCCUCAGCCCCACUAAUGAAAUAUAUCCAUAAACGAGGAAGACACAUGAUCUCUGUGCAGAGCUUGACCUGACAUUACAG